CAAUAGCGUAUAUUUAAGUUGUUGCAGUUAAAAAGCUCGUAGUUGGAUUUCGGUUGAGAACGGCCGGUCCGCCGUUUGGUGUGCACUGGCUGGUUUCAACUUCCUGUAGAGGACGCGCUCUGGCUUCACGGCUGGACGCGGAGCCUACGUGGUUACUUUGAAAAAAUUAGAGUGUUCAAAGCGGGCUUACGCUUGAAUAUUUCAGCAUGGAAUAACACUAUAGGACUCCUGUCCUAUUUCGUUGGUCUCGGGACGGGAGUAAUGAUUAAGAGGAACAGUUGGGGGCAUUCGUAUUUCAUUGUCAGAGGUGAAAUUCUUGGAUUUAUGAAAGACGAACUUCUGCGAAAGCAUUUGCCAAGGAUGUUUUCAUUAA
rnacentral:rRNA from 1 species